GACCCGAGGGGGGCCCCCACGCCCGCUCUGGCCUCUCAGGGGUUCCCUUCGGAGGAGGCCGGGGCUCAAGUGCGGACGCAUCGAGCUUCGGCCCCCACCCCUGCAUUCGCGAUUGGCUCCCGGAGGAGGUGGCUGGUGCUGCCGCCGCUGCAGCAUCUCCUAGGGAGCCGCGACCCUGCGCCCGCCGCCGCUGCCGCUGUCACCAGCCCGGCCCCAGGGGUGCCCUGGGCUCCGCGGCUGAGGCACCUAGGGAGUUGCCCCCCUAGUGGACGGCCUCUCAGGAGAUCCUGACCACCCUCUGGGAACCUGGACUCCUCCAAGCAUCGUCUUUCUCGCCUGCAUCUUCGGAGAGAGGUGCUGAGCCCUUCCUCAUGGAUACGGGGUCCCGGGAGGCAGCCUUCACCAGGGACCUGCCCAGGAAACCAGCAGAUGCCCAGGUCAGCCCUGAAAUGUCCAUUACUCACAAAGAAAAGGAAAAUGCUCAUUUGAAAGAAAUUCUUCUCUUUGUCAAUGCUGAGGCAUUCUCUCAGCCCCAGCCCCACAGUGCUCCAGUGUGUGAAGGGCAACAGCUGACGGGGAAGUUCAGCACAUCUGUGCUGACCAGGGCUGGAGGCGAUGCCAGUCCGUGCAGCUGGGAACGCCUCCUCUGCUAUGGCUGGAGCCACUGCUGAAGGGACUCCACCUGGCACCUAUGCCACCAAUGGCCCCUGAACGGGUAUCUAGGCCCACCCUUAAUAAAGAUGAGCUGCUCAUUCCCA
rnacentral:lncRNA from 1 species